UGAGGAUUUUACAUACAUCCGUCGAAAUUCUUACAGACCUGAUUUCACAAGGUAGUUUACCAACCCAUCGUCUUCACUCUCAAUCUUAGAUGGAUGGUCCUGUUCUAGUGAAGAAUCCAUUGUCUGUCGUGAUCCAUCCCAGCCACCGCAUCUGAGGGACUUUGUCUGGACAUGGUUGAGAUAGUAUAUGCAGUAAAACCUGGUUUCAAGAUCAUUGGAGAGAACCAGGACCACUACAGUAGAAUCCCUGGGUUUGUUCAGCGGGAGUGGAUGUCACGUAGGCUGUCCAAGAGAGACUCGAACUACAGUAGAAAAAGACGGACCAGUUUGGUUUGGCGUGGCUAAGUAUCCAUAGACAAACUGUCAACCAAAGGGGUGGAGACCUGCAUGUCUCCGAGGAAUGAAGUUUCUUGUCAGUCAUUCUGCUGUAAUUUUGCCGUUUGAAAACUCCUUGCUUCUGAUCCAAUGCAGUUGAGCUGCCGACAUAGCGAUGUCAGUCAUUGCACUUGUUAUAGUUGACAAUGACAAAAUUAAGCUGUCUAAAGUUUUGGAGUUGUUGGAAGAUGAGGAGGAGGGCUCUAAAACAGGAUGCCUUGCCGUAUGUGUACCAGGUAGCCACCUCAGCUAGGCAAUCUUACUACCAUGAAAUAUCAGCAGCCAGUCAACGAAAGGAUGGAAGCUCCAGGAUGUCAAGUGUCAGAGAAUUUCGUGUCUAACGGCAUACAAAUUUAUGCUAGUUAUCGUAGUGUGGUUUCUUUUCAGCUGAGGUCCAAGAUUUGUGCUGCAUCUGUCACAUAGCCCCAGGGAAACCAUCACAGGAUGCUCGGAGACUUCUAAACUCACAUCUGGAACCCCUGCUGUGAACAGUAGCCGAGGGCCGCACCUGAUGGCAAUCGCUGCCACAAUGUCCCAGAUCUGAAUAGUAGUUACCAGCUGGCUCCACUCGUCCCUAGACCCUGUCACAACCAAGCUGAAGACAGUAGCUGUCACAAUUCUGA